UAAUGGGCUUACCAGGUUCUCACGCC
rnacentral:piRNA from 1 species